UACGUAGGGCGCAAGCGUUGUCCGGAAUCAUUGGGCGUAAAGGGCGCGUAGGUGGCCCGGUCAGCGUGCGGUGAAAGCUCGGGGCUCAACCCCGAGUCGGCCGUGCGAACUGCUGGGCUUGAGCACUGUAGAGGCAGGCGGAAUUCCGGGUGUAGCGGUGGAAUGCGUAGAGAUCCGGAAGAACACCGGUGGCGAAGGCGGCCUGCUGGGCAGUGGCUGACACUGAGGCGCGACAGCGUGGGGAGCAAACAGG
rnacentral:rRNA from 1 species